rnacentral:rRNA from 1 species
UACGUAGGGUGCGAGCGUUGUCCGGGAUUAUUGGGCGUAAAGGGCUCGUAGGCGGUUUGUCGCGUCGGGAGUGAAAACACACAGCUUAACUGUGUGCUUGCUUCCGAUACGGGCAGACUAGAGGUAUGCAGGGGAGAACGGAAUUCCUGGUGUAGCGGUGAAAUGCGCAGAUAUCAGGAGGAACACCGGUGGCGAAGGCGGUUCUCUGGGCAUUACCUGACGCUGAGGAGCGAAAGUGUGGGGAGCGAACAGG